rnacentral:rRNA from 1 species
ACACCUUCGGGUGUGAAUUAGCGGCGAACGGGUGAGGAACACGUGAAGAAUCUGCCUUCAACUCUGGGAUAACUCCGGGAAACCGGGGCUAAUACCGGAUAUGAGCCUUGAUCGCAUGAUCGGGGCUGGAAAGUUUUUCGGUUGAAGAUGACUUCGCGGCCUAUCAGCUUGUUGGUGAGGUAAUGGCUCACCAAGGCGACGACGGGUAGCCGGCCUGAGAGGGCGACCGGCCACACUGGGACUGAGACACGGCCCAGACUCCUACGGGAGGCAGCAGUGGGGAAUAUUGGGCAAUGGAGGAAACUCUGACCCAGCGACGCCGCGUGAGGGAUGAAGGCCUUCGGGUUGUAAACCUCUUUCAGUAGGGAAGAAGCGAAAGUGACGGUACCUACAGAAGAAGCACCGGCUAACUAUGUGCCAGCAGCCGCGGUAAUACAUAGGGUGCAAGCGUUGUCCGGAAUUAUUGGGCGUAAAGAGCUCGUAGGUGGUUCGAUACGUCGGAUGUGAAAAUCAGGGGCUCAACCCCUGACCUGCAUCCGAUACGGUCGAGCUGGAGUUUGGUAGGGGAGACUGGAAUUCCUGGUGUAGCGGUGGAAUGCGCAGAUAUCAGGAGGAACACCGAUGGCGAAGGCAGGUCUCUGGGCCAAUACUGACACUGAGGAGCGAAAGCGUGGGGAGCGAACAGGAUUAGAUACCCUGGUAGUCCACGCCGUAAACGGUGGGCGCUAGUUGUGCGAACCUUCCACGGUUUGUGCGACGCAGCUAACGCAUUAAGCGCCCCGCCUGGGGAGUACGAUCGCAAGAUUAAAACUCAAAGGAAUUGACGGGGCCCCGCACA